CACUGUCAACAUAGAAUGUUGCUAGACAAGUUAUCAUAUCUUUCUUUGCAGCUAAUCCUGAUCUCAUUAUUGUGGUUGAUCAUCUAGUGCAAGUCUAGGAUGGAGAUCUUAGUCAAAGGAACCCUGAUGCUCUGCUAGAUGGUAAAAGAAGUCUGUCACAGGAGAUAUAUCUUUUGAUAUCUCAAGGUUAAACAAAUGAGGAAGCCAUCUUGUUUUCCACAUCACUGGAUCUCACAUGCUAUAGAAGAUCUCCAUGGCAACAGGAGCUGGUGUGCCUGGUGUGAAGACAACAGUGUAGGCCUCAUUUCCUAAAAAACAUGUUUCUAUUAAAGUUGAAUCACCAAUUAAAAGACUCUUUUCUGUCCUCAGGAGCCUCAGAGAUGCAAAUAGAAUAGGGAAGCCUGACCGGUCAGCUGCUACACCUACUAACUCUUGCUGAUUAUCUAAAAAUAAAAUGAUUUGGCAUAAAUAAGAAAAAUAAAAUAUUUUUGGAU